GAGGAGCACGAAGGUUGGCUAAUCCUGGUCGGACAUCAGGAGGUUAGUGCAAUGGCAUAAGCCAGCUUGACUGCGAGCGUGACGGCGCGAGCAGGUGCGAAAGCAGGUCAUAGUGAUCCGGUGGUUCUGAAUGGAAGGGCCAUCGCUCAACGGAUAAAAGGUACUCCGGGGAUAACAGGCUGAUACCGCCCAAGAGUUCAUAUCGACGGCGGUGUUUGGCACCUCGAUGUCGGCUCAUCACAUCCUGGGGCUGAAGUAGGUCCCAAGGGUAUGGCUGUUCGCCAUUUAAAGUGGUACGCGAGCUGGGUUUAGAACGUCGUGAGACAGUUCGGUCCCUAUCUGCCGUGGGCGCUGGAGAACUGAGGGGGGCUGCUCCUAGUACGAGAGGACCGGAGUGGACGCAUCACUGGUGUUCGGGUUGUCAUGCCAAUGGCACUGCCCGGUAGCUAAAUGCGGAAGAGAUAAGUGCUGAAAGCAUCUAAGCACGAAACUUGCCCCGAG
rnacentral:rRNA from 1 species